rnacentral:rRNA from 1 species
AGCGAACGCUGGCGGCACGCCUAACACAUGCAAGUCGAACGAUCCUUCGGGAUAGUGGCGGACGGGUGAGUAACACGUGGGAACGUACCUUUAGGUUCGGGAUAACUCAGGGAAACUUGAGCUAAUACCGGAUAAGCCCUUUUGGGGAAGGAUUUAUCGCCUUUAGAGCGGCCCGCGUUAGAUUAGCUAGUUGGUGAGGUAAAGGCUCACCAAGGCUCCGAUCUAUAGCUGGUCUGAGAGGAUGAUCAGCCACACUGGGACUGAGACACGGCCCAGACUCCUACGGGAGGCAGCAGUGGGGAAUCUUGCGCAAUGGGCGAAAGCCUGACGCAGCCAUGCCGCGUGAAUGAUGAAGGUCUUAGGAUUGUAAAAUUCUUUUAGCAGGGACGAUAAUGACGGUACCUGCAGAAAAAGCCCCGGUUAACUUCGUGCCAGCCGCCGCCGUAAUAC